rnacentral:rRNA from 1 species
UGUGGUUAAUUCGAUGCACCGCGAGAACUACCUGGUCUUGACAUCCCGGAGACCCUUAGGAAACUAGGGGUGCUUCCAUCUGGAAGAAUCUGGAGACAGGUGCUGCAUGGCUGUCGUCAGCUCGUGUCGUGAGAUGUUGGGUUAAGUCCCGCAACGGGCGCAACCCUUGCCUUUAGUUGCCAGCAGUUCGGCUGGGCACUCUAAAGGGACUGCCGGUGUUAAACCGGAGGAAGGUGGGGAUGACGUCAAGUCCUCAUGGCCUUUAUGACCAGGGCUACACACGUACUACAAUGGCCGAUACAAAGGGCAGCGACACUGCGAGGUGAAGCCAAUCCCGUAAAAUCGGUCUCAGUCCGGAUUGGAGUCUGCAACUCGACUCCAUGAAGUUGGAAUCGCUAGUAAUCGUGGAUCAGCAUGCCACGGUGAAUACGUUCCCGGGCCUU